CGGGGGUCUGGGGCUUUCAAGUCUUGCCCCGAGUCAGGGGAGUGUUCUUGGCUGAAGGAGAAGGGCACACUGAGGCUGGCAUAGUCUGCUUACUACCUGUGCGACGGACGAUGUUACUCUCCUGCUGCUAGUUUGCUUGUCGUGUGGUUUCGGGGCUUGCUUUUUUUUUUUAAAGGCGUUUUCCCAAUGUGGACGGAGGAGGUCUGCUUAGCUGCUUAUUAGGCUCGCCUUGAUUGUGGUGGCUUUCCUAAUCCGUUGCUCCCGAGGUUUCACCUCUGCUACUAAUAGUUUGCCUGCUUCCAAGCAGGGGGUCUACUGGCUUGGCUGGUCCCAGUGCCUGGGCAUCCUGUAAGGCUGACAUACCCUGCAGACCCUGGAAAACUCCCGUGAGCUAGGUUGGUAACAUGGAUCCGCCCGAGCCCACUCUCGCCUUGUGCGAAUGUGAAGGUUGUUUGUCGCCCCUGCCUCAAGGAGACAAUCAUCCUUUCUGCCUCCACCAUGCAGCCUGUUGGGUCGGUGACACCUACGACCCGGAGUCUUGCGAGACUUGUUCCCCGCUUGUGUUUCAGUUAACCCAUUCCUCAUCUGCAAAUGAUAGGAUUCAGGCUGCGGCAGCAUUGCAUGCUCACUUCUCUCUCAUGCAACGUGCCAGGUUGAUUGCCCGGUUGAAGGCCCCAGAGCUGCCCCGUUUGGGGUUUAGGGACCGGGAUUUGGGGCCAUUGCUCGCUUCAAUCUUGGUUCCAUCCAUGCCCCUGCUUCCUUCCCAGAUGGGCGUGGUUCGCUCUGUUCCUCUUCCGGCUCCCAAACGCCUGAGGGUUUCAAUGUCAGGGCAGUGUUUAGAUCGAGAUGAGACUCGUGUGGCUUCGGGGGCUGCCCCUUCAGAUUCCGGCGCGGAAGUGGCUGAGCCCGCUCUUCCUGCUAAGGCUUCCAGUUCAUCCCAGCCACCUAACGUAUCGAAAGCCUUUCCCUUGGACUCUACCUUUUCUUCAGGGGUGGUGGGCGCGGAAGAGGACUCUGCCUCAAGGCCUGUGUUGGGGGUUCCCCGGGCUCGGGGGGAAUCUGCUUGGAGUGCUUGGGCUCCUUUUGACCCUGCUUGGGCCCUUGUGCCUUCUGGGCAGGGAUUGUUGCUGCAGGGGAAGGGUUUUUCGUAUCCUCCUUCCCUGUAUGAAUUUGAGUUGGAUGCGGCUCCACCCCGAGUUCGUUUCCGGGUGCCUUUGGGUUCCUUGAAUUCAUCUUUCCGGAGGUUUCCUCCUUGUCGGAUUUCCCCUGGGGAGGUUCGGAAGGCCCUUGGUGCGUACCUCCUGCGAGACCCAGUUUACGCCUCUGUAAUGGAUCCAUCUUCUUUUGAGUUUGGUUCUUCUUUCCCAUAUUGGGUGCGUUAUGAAGUUCCCGAGUCUUCCUUGCUGGCAGACUGCCCUCUUUUCUCUCUCAAAGCUUGGCGUGGCUUUUGUCGUACCCGUAAGCUGAAUUCGCAGGAGGUUUCAUCUGAGGUGCAGGUGUUCUUGGGGGGCUCGCUCGAGUUCCUCAAUGAGUGCCUCUUCGCUCCUAUGCUUCCUCGUGAUGUGGGUCUGGUGCAGUUGCAUGCUCAAGUUCCAACUCUUUCAGUUGCUUUGGCGGCUGAGGACCUCCGGACUCGCAGUCAUUUGGCUUCGGUCCUGCGUUUUUUUGGUCUUCUGGAGCUCCACUCAAAAUUUCUUUCUGAGGAUGUAGGGGCGUUGAGUGAGGGGCCUUCGACUGGGGUUCUGGUGUUGGCUGCUCGGGCAUCAUCUGCCUUGCUUAAGCUGUUUGCACCGAUCCUCCGGGAGGCGGUUUCAACGUUCUUCUCCUCUCGCCUCGCAUGUCGGCAGGCUGUGCUGGCUCUGUCUCCGAAUUCGGCUUGGGCCCUGGCUCUGCAGUCGUCUUCGCCAUUCUGUCCUCUGUUGUUCCCGGAGGAUGUUGUGGCUCAGUUUCUUUCGGUGAUUUCAACUAGUUGCCGUCCUGUUUCGGACUUGUUUGUGGUACGGGGGAGCCGUUCUCGUUCAUCUCGAUUUGGUCGUACCAGGGCUCGGGUCUCGGUUGGUCGAGGUAGACCUUUGGUGCCAGUGGUUGCGUCAGUGGGCUUUCCUGAACCUUCGUCAUCUGGUUGGCGCGGUGUUCGGUCUGUGCGCCAAAAGGCUUCUCGGCGUUUGCAUCGGCCCUUUCGCAGGUCGCCCCGUUAACGGGGCAUUGGGGGGAGGCUGGCUCUUUUUUGCCUGUGCUUGGUCAUGUGAUUUGUGGGCUUUUUGGGUCGUUUCUUCCAAACUCUGGUGGCGUUGGGUGGAUCAUCCCGCCAUGGGAGGGUUGGGCCUGAGGGGGCAGCCUUCUUCCCUGUCCCUCAGUCGGGUCAUCUUGGAGUGGCUUCGCUUGGGCGUGGUCAAAACAACUUCAUCUCUCAAGUGGAUUUUCUGUUUGUUUCCAGAUCUGAAAUGAGACUGUGCGGAUCUCCGGUACAUUCUGGACUUUCCUGAACCGGUUGAUUCCUUGCCCUUCUUUUUGGAUGAUCACACAAUCCCAGGUCCAGCUCGUUCUCGAGCCAGGCACUUGGAUGGUUUCCCUGAAUCUCUGGGAUGCUUAUUGGCACAUCCCUAUUCAUCCGGGAUUCAGGGAUUAGUUGGGGUUCCAGGUGGGGCGACAGGCUUACCGCUAUCUUACCUGCUUUUCGGCUUGCAUCCUGCAACUCGCAUUUUUACGUGUCUCACUCGGAUGGUAGUAGCCCAUAUGUGUCUGCUAGGUCUUCGGGUGUUGGCCUACCUUGACGAUUGGUUGGUGUGGGCUCCCAGCCAGUCUGCUUGUCUGCUAGCCAGGGAUCUGGUUCUUUAAGCACCUUAAGAAGCACCUCAAGGUUUACCAGCUUGCCGGGUUCGGGUUCCUGGUUAAUUGGCAGAAGUCCCAAUUGGUUCUGUCCCAGGUUCGGACUUGGCUGGGCCUCGUAUGAGAUUCUUGGACAUUGUCCAUCUCUCUCCCUUCUGUGGCUCUGCUCUGGUUGCAGUCUGGCUUCAGUUGUUUUUGAGGGAGACCCAGGUCACUCAGGAGUUGCUUGAGCGGCUGUGCCGGUACUGUAUCUUCGGAGUCGCCACUUUCGCCGCACUUGCGACUGUUUGGUUUGCACCCUGGGGUCCUUGUGUAGGUUGCUGCAUCACCAGCUUCCACUUUGGGUUUUUCGGGGUUCGGUCACUAGUUCGGGCAGGGGCGCUGGGGUAGUCCUUCGGCCAGGCUUACAGCACGGUGCGGGUGUUUGCGUUGGUGUGCUGGAUUCAGCUUCCUUGGGGCUCUUUGAUCUGGCUCCAUUCGGACUGAUCAUUGUCUCAACCGUGAGGGGAUCUUUUUGGUUCAUGGCUCUUUGGAGCCAGUCGCUUCGGGUAGCUCUUCUGCUGAGUUCUCGGGGUUUAGCUCUCCAUGUUGUUUACAGUCAAGGCGUGUCCAACAUUCUGGCAGAGAUGGCCUGGCCCGUUUCGUUCCUCUUUCCACAGAGUGAACAGUCGACACCGCAUCCUUCCUUUGCCUUUGCUGGAUGUAUGGGAAGCCGAAGGUGGACCCAUUGAACAUGGUGCCAUUCCCUGACUGCGAGUGUGUUGCUCCUGGUCCUGGCUCGCUUAAAAUCCUAUCAGGGGAGAGUUCUUCUCCUGGCUCCAUGGUGUCUGGCCCAGCCUUGGUUUCAAGUGCUGCUUGCUCGGUGUCCGAACCCGGGCAUCUUUACAUGGCUCUGCCUCUACCAGCAGAUAGAGGCAGUGAGGCACCUUGCUGGUACGCGUUACUGUUCCGUACUUCGUGUCUGGUCUUUCUGAUGCGGGUGUAUUGCUAUUUCUAUGGUCUUCAGGUGGCUUCUUUGAUGGUAUCCCACCUAUGGUCGUCUUGGUGACAGCAUGAAGUCUCUUGGCGGUCUUUCUAUUAUUUUCAUUCUUUUCGAGGGUUUUCAUCAAUUUCGAACUAGGUUGUUUUGUUCUUUCUUUCAUGGCCUGGUUGAGGACUGGGUCGCGGGAACGUUGAAUUUCGCUUCUAUCGUGCGAUGUUGGCGGAGCCGCUCUAGCUUGCAUUCAGGGUGGAUGUUACUUCUGCCCCUUUCUGCAAGAGUUCAUGUGCGUUUUUACACCUCUGGCCUGCUCGUGCGCCACCUGAGCCUUCCUGGUCUUUGGACCGGGUUCUUUCUUUACUUCUCCUCGUUUUGUGGCGGCCCCCUUUGGUUGGCGAUUGUUUUUGGAAGGCCACAAACAUUUUUGUGGCCUUCCAGAAAAGAAGUUGGCCUUUUUUUUUUUUUUGACUUGGAAUCUUAGGCUCCAGUUGAGGAGCUUCAGGCUCUCCUCCGGUGCUGAGGGUUCUGUUCAUUUGGUCCGGGUGGUCAUUUUGUUUGGCUGCAGGCUUCUCCUUCUUUUCUGGCAAAGAAUGAGACGGCAGGGCAUAACAUGUUGUGUCUGGUGGCGGCUUUACGCCGCUACCUGCAGGCCACUGGUUCGGUGACAGUGGACAAUCUUUGGGUGGAUCCAGUUUCCCCGGGCUCGUGUCUCAGGUUGUCCGCAGUGUCAAAAGUUCCAGCCAGCCUGUGGUCUACCCUCGUGUCAGUGAAAUAUGGAAGUAUGCGGCGCUUGCCACGGUUUUUGGGAACAUGUCUUGGGUUGACAUUCUUGGCGUGGGGGUUUUGGAGGUUGAAUAGGGUCCUGGCUGCCAGAUAUCUAGUGAAUGUUCCGGGCCCUUUCCGGCCUGAUGCUGCAGCUGUCGGUCUCUUCUUUGACUUGAGCCCUUCUGUGUUGCUGCUUCUCUGGAACAUUUCUGAGCUGAAAUAAUGUACUGAACAAACUAAGCAAGAAUCUAUGUAACAACAGGAAGAAAAGUUAUUCUGAUUCAUUAAAACUGAAAAUAUUUGCAUUGUAUAUCUUUUAGUACAAUAAUACUCUACACACUUCAUUACA